rnacentral:rRNA from 2 species
GGUUAAGCGACUAAGCGUACACGGUGGAUGCCCUGGCAGUCAGAGGCGAUGAAGGACGUGCUAAUCUGCGAAAAGCGUCGGUAAGGUGAUAUGAACCGUUAUAACCGGCGAUGUCCGAAUGGGGAAACCCAGUGCAAUUCGUUGCACUAUCGUUAACUGAAUACAUAGGUUAACGAGGCGAACCGGGGGAACUGAAACAUCUAAGUACCCCGAGGAAAAGAAAUCAACCGAGAUUCCCCCAGUAGCGGCGAGCGAACGGGGAGCAGCCCAGAGUCUGAAUCAGCUUGUGUGUUAGUGGAACGGUCUGGAAAGUCCGACGGUACAGGGUGAUAGUCCCGUACACCAAAAUGCACAGGUUGUGAACUCGAAGAGUAGGGCGGGACACGUGGUAUCCUGUCUGAAUAUGGGGGGACCAUCCUCCAAGGCUAAAUACUCCUGACUGACCGAUAGUGAACCAGUACCGUGAGGGAAAGGCGAAAAGAACCCCGGCGAGGGGAGUGAAAAAGAACCUGAAACCGUGUACGUACAAGCAGUGGGAGCACCUUCGGGUGUGACUGCGUACCUUUUGUAUAAUGGGUCAGCGACUUAUAUUCUGUAGCAAGGUUAACCGUAUAGGGGAGCCGCAGGGAAACCGAGUCUUAACUGGGCGUUAAGUUGCAGGGUAUAGACCCGAAACCCGGUGAUCUAGCCAUGGGCAGGUUGAAGGUUGGGUAACACUAACUGGAGGACCGAACCGACUAAUGUUGAAAAAUUAGCGGAUGACUUGUGGCUGGGGGUGAAAGGCCAAUCAAACCGGGAGAUAGCUGGUUCUCCCCGAAAGCUAUUUAGGUAGCGCCUCGUGAAUUCAUCUUCGGGGGUAGAGCACUGUUUCGGCUAGGGGGUCAUCCCGACUUACCAACCCGAUGCAAACUACGAAUACCGAAGAAUGUUAUCACGGGAGACACACGGCGGGUGCUAACGUCCGUCGUGAAGAGGGAAACAACCCAGACCGCCAGCUAAGGUCCCAAAGUCAUGGUUAAGUGGGAAACGAUGUGGGAAGGCACAGACAGCCAGGAUGUUGGCUUAGAAGCAGCCAUCAUUUAAAGAAAGCGUAAUAGCUCACUGGUCGAGUCGGCCUGCGCGGAAGAUGUAACGGGGCUAAACCAUGCACCGAAGCUGCGGCAGCGACACUAUGUGUUGUUGGGUAGGGGAGCGUUCUGUAAGCCUGCGAAGGUGUGCUGUGAGGCAUGCUGGAGGUAUCAGAAGUGCGAAUGCUGACAUAAGUAACGAUAAAGCGGGUGAAAAGCCCGCUCGCCGGAAGACCAAGGGUUCCUGUCCAACGUUAAUCGGGGCAGGGUGAGUCGACCCCUAAGGCGAGGCCGAAAGGCGUAGUCGAUGGGAAACAGGUUAAUAUUCCUGUACUUGGUGUUACUGCGAAGGGGGGACGGAGAAGGCUAUGUUAGCCGGGCGACGGUUGUCCCGGUUUAAGCAUGUAGGCUGGUUGUCCAGGCAAAUCCGGAUAAUCAAGGCUGAGGUGUGAUGACGAGGCACUACGGUGCUGAAGUAACAAAUGCCCUGCUUCCAGGAAAAGCCUCUAAGCAUCAGGUAACAUCAAAUCGUACCCCAAACCGACACAGGUGGUCAGGUAGAGAAUACCAAGGCGCUUGAGAGAACUCGGGUGAAGGAACUAGGCAAAAUGGUGCCGUAACUUCGGGAGAAGGCACGCUGGUGUGUAGGUGAAGUCCCUGCGGAUGGAGCUGAGACCAGUCGAAGAUACCAGCUGGCUGCAACUGUUUAUUAAAAACACAGCACUGUGCAAACACGAAAGUGGACGUAUACGGUGUGACGCCUGCCCGGUGCCGGAAGGUUAAUUGAUGGGGUUAUCCGUAAGGAGAAGCUCUUGAUCGAAGCCCCGGUAAACGGCGGCCGUAACUAUAACGGUCCUAAGGUAGCGAAAUUCCUUGUCGGGUAAGUUCCGACCUGCACGAAUGGCGUAAUGAUGGCCAGGCUGUCUCCACCCGAGACUCAGUGAAAUUGAACUCGCUGUGAAGAUGCAGUGUACCCGCGGCAAGACGGAAAGACCCCGUGAACCUUUACUAUAGCUUGACACUGAACAUUGAGCCUUGAUGUGUAGGAUAGGUGGGAGGCUUUGAAGCGUGGACGCCAGUCUGCGUGGAGCCAACCUUGAAAUACCACCCUUUAAUGUUUGAUGUUCUAACGUUGGCCCCUGACCGGGGUUGCGGACAGUGUCUGGUGGGUAGUUUGACUGGGGCGGUCUCCUCCCAAAGCGUAACGGAGGAGCACGAAGGUUAGCUAAUCCUGGUCGGACAUCAGGAGGUUAGUGCAAUGGCAUAAGCUAGCUUGACUGCGAGCGUGACGGCGCGAGCAGGUGCGAAAGCAGGUCAUAGUGAUCCGGUGGUUCUGAAUGGAAGGGCCAUCGCUCAACGGAUAAAAGGUACUCCGGGGAUAACAGGCUGAUACCGCCCAAGAGUUCAUAUCGACGGCGGUGUUUGGCACCUCGAUGUCGGCUCAUCACAUCCUGGGGCUGAAGUAGGUCCCAAGGGUAUGGCUGUUCGCCAUUUAAAGUGGUACGCGAGCUGGGUUUAGAACGUCGUGAGACAGUUCGGUCCCUAUCUGCCGUGGGCGCUGGAGAAUUGAGGGGGGCUGCUCCUAGUACGAGAGGACCGGAGUGGACGCAUCACUGGUGUUCGGGUUGUCAUGCCAAUGGCACUGCCCGGUAGCUAAAUGCGGAAGAGAUAAGUGCUGAAAGCAUCUAAGCACGAAACUUGCCCCGAGAUGAGUUCUCCCUGAGACUUUAAGUCUCCUGAAGGAACGUUAAAGACGAUGACGUUGAUAGGCCGGGUGUGUAAGCGCAGCGAUGCGUUGAGCUAACCGGUACUAAUGAACCGUGAGGCUUAACCUU